UUCUUCCCCGUCGAAUCGCCAGGGGAAGAACCGAGAGAAAACAAGGGUCAGAUGGGAGCAGAGCACGGUGGUCGAGAUCGAUAAAAGAGAAAGAAAAGCUUUUCUAUAUUCUUCUUUUUUACUUUCUUUGCUGUUUGUUUCUCCGAUCGAUCCCUCCUUGUCGUGGUCUCCUUCUUGUUUCUUCUUCUUCUUCUUCUCUUUUGUUCUUUGGCUCCCCGGUGGUGGGACUGACGUAACGGCGGAGUAGAAGGAGAGAUGAGAGCGGUGAGCGGCGUUGGACGAUUCGUGGCUCGCCAAAUGCGUGGGCAGCGCCGCCGCCGUCGCAACCAUCGCAGGCCCCUGCGCCCGCAUCGGAGGGUCAGCAAUCAGGAUCACAGUCAAUUAACCCUGGUGAGACUAUCUGGAGACUGGAACGAGUAUAUCACAUUGGUGCAAGCAAUGCUAAGGGGUAACUGUCAUGUCCUUUGAAAAUAUUUUAUUAAAGAAAAAAUCAAAGACAGGCCAGGUACUUUUAACUUGUAAUUGGAGAAUUAGUUGUUGUUUUCAAAAUUUUCUUUUUUGGAAUUUUGGGUGAAUCUUUCAUUCAUUUUACAUUUUUACGUAAACAUAUUCUGCAAUUUGCUUCUAACUAGAAUUCUAUCAUUAUGUUUUACUGCAUAAUAGAUGUCCUAACUUCCAUUCUUUCUAUUUCUGAUUUAUGCUUGCAUUUUCUUCCAUGCAAGUACUGCAUAAUCUGAGGCAACAGUUUCAACAAAUGUUCUUGGAGUCAGGUUUAGAACCAAAUUAGUUUUAGACUUACAAUCAGUUUCUCUUGAUAAAGCAAAGCCUGUGCAUUAUAUGUGGCAGUUUUGCAACAUUAUUUCUCCUGAACAAAUAGAUGGAUUACCCAUUUCUUACGUUAGAGUACUCUGCAGCAUGUUAAAUGAGCGUCUGUAAUCUAUGUGAGGUAUCUGAACACUGCUUUGUUCAUGUUGGCCAACUCUACAGUUGUUCGCUUGCUCUGCUUUAAACUAAAUUGUUGGCUCUACUGAAUCAUAUUUAUAUUUAUGCCUCUGAUUGCUCAAGGAUAUAAGCAUCACCCUUCACAAACACAUGGAAAUUGUGUUACUGUAUCCUCUUACACACAUCUGCCAAGUUCUUGCUAGAUCUGAACUUCUAUUAGCUGGCCAUCACUAAGUAUGAAUGUAUGCCCUUAUUAUAGUAGCCUAAUCUGUCUGUUCAUAUACACUCUGGUAAUAGAAUUGCGAGAAAAUAUGGCUGAUUCAAGUCACUUUAGACAGCAUUUCUGGUCAUGUUGGCUUCCUCUUAUCAGACUGGAUGGUGUAGGAAAUAAAAAAUGGAUAAAAUUUUGUGAUCUUAUGAUUCAGAUUGUCAUUCCAUGGCUAUAACAUGGAGCUUGAUAGAUGUUUAGAUAACAUGUCUGAUUCAGAAGUUUCUUUAUGAUUGAUAGAUGUUUUAUUUUGACAAAUUUAAUAAGCAGUGGACGACAAAUGAAUGUUAUUUAUACUGCCACCAUGAUGCUUCAGAUUAAGCAACUGCAUCCCCCCCAAACGAGGCAUCAAGCUAGAGUAUAUGUAUGAUAAUAAAACUAGCAACUUGUCUUAUAUCAAAUCAAGGAAGUAAAUUUGCUACAUGCAAGCACAUAGCAAGUGAACAUUGGCAUGUAAACUAAUUGAGGACAAGCCUCUAAGCAACUUGAAAUUAUACAGUUUGGAAAUUUUCCUAAGAGUUGUGCAGGAUAGUUACAAUAUAAAGGUACCAUAUUUUGGUACUUGCAGUCUUGGUUUCUCAUUGCACACACUUGUUAGAAUUUUGAAGCAGAUCUUUGUUGCCCUGUGACUUAGAUUAUGGUACCAGAAGAUAGUGUAUGAGAGUGGUCUGGUGGUUCUUUGACAAAAGAUGUCUUGGUUCCAAAGCUGGUAAUUCUCCAAAUUAAUUUGAUUAUGAUCAUUCCACGAAAAUACAGAUUGUGCCAAAAAGAUUAAAAAUAAAUUUUCUUCUUUUUUCUUUAUAAAUUUUUCUUUCUAUUUUUAUUAGAAAAAGAAGAUGAAAUAAUUAUAAUGGAUUUAAAAUGAAAAUUUAUUCUUAGAUAAAUCAAUUAUGAAAUUCUUUUGUAGAGUGUCCGAUAUCUCUUUUACAUCUUCUAUGCGAAAAUAUUCAAUUCUCAUAAGAUCUUCUUGACUCUUAUUCAAAAGGUCCAACAAUGUGUGUAUAUUGGACCUUUUGAGACAAUUAUAGGUCCUGGAAGGUAAUUCUGAUUGGUCAAUAAAAAUACAUUUCUGUACAUUCAAUAUACUUUACGAAUAGAGGAAUACAUAGAGUUGAAUAUAGUAAAAUAAGAAAUUGAAAAAUUUUGUUGAAAUUGUUCGUUUGGAAAUUUUCCGAAAAGCUAAUUAUAGGUUCUUUUCUCCAUCGGAACAAUAGGGCCGUUAUGCUUAUUGCUAAACUUGUUGAAGAGAUGAAAUAGAACCAAGGCCUAUCCUUUUGAUCAAAGGUUGAAUCGAUCAUUAGAAGAAGAAUUAGGCCAAAAAUUAGGAUACAUUAUGGGAAAAUGAAACUUCCAUGGAAGAGACCUUGUUGAAUAAUAUUGGGCAACCAGUAACAUCAAGGCAUUUGGUGGAUCUUGGAGCUGUGCAGAACAUAUGGACAAAUUUGUACCGCACCAUCCAUACACAAAGGUAGGACACGCUGUGCGGUAGAAAUCAAUAAAUAAGGAGCAGGACAACGGAUUGCAGUGGCACAAUUUGGAUGUAUGUAAUCUUUUUACAAGAGAAUCCUCUGAGUUCUGUACAAGUUAUCAUGCCUGCUCUAUCAAAAAACCAGCCCAUGCAGGCAGUGAAGCAAAGUCCUAUUUGUGUUAGUCCUCAGAAAACUCAUUCAGAUCUAUGAAGGGGAAAAGAAAUUGUCGAUCAUCAUUUGGACAUUGAUGGUGUCAAUCACACCGGAAUGUGUGCAGAUCAAUCUGUUGCCUUGCCAUGUUUCUGGGCCAACAAUUCUGUAAGCCACUUUGGUGAUGUCAGCUGUAAUGACUUCCCAUCUGAAGCAUCUCUAGCUGAUAGGUAUGGUGCUUCAAACAUCGAAUUGAGGCUUGGUCAGCCAUCUCAGGAAUGCCCUAUUUUUGCAAGUUCAUAUUCAACAUGUGUGAUGGAAUUUGGAGCUACCUGUAACUCAGAGAAGCCACAAUUGCAUCAGGAACUAAAGCAACAAGGUAAAACCGAUCAGCGACAUUCUUUCUUUUUUUUGUUUUUGUUCAUGAUUCAGCAUCAUGCCUAAAUGAUCUGGCCUUUUAACUUGUAGAUGACACCUAUUUUUGCAAAUCUAUACGAGUUUCUGGAUUAUUUUUAUACUUAAAUGGAAGAGAGCAUGAGGAUUCUACACCACUUUAUAGGAAUAAAUGAAGUGCAAGUGAAAAUGUGUGAAGUUGCCAUGAUAUUUAGAUUGCACUGCUGUAUAAUCAUGUAGAGAUUUUCCUUUUAUAGUCAAAAGAUAUGCAGGAACAUCAGUGAAACACUGCAAUUUUAUAUAGAACUGUCAUUUUUAGAAACAAAGUACAAAAUUGUUGUACAUCAUAUACAAUGAAGAGGGUUCAUAUUCAAAUUUGCAAAACAAUUAUUUGAGUUCUUAAUGACCCAAGCUUUUCCAUUGGCAUGCAAGUGUUAUGAGGAUGUUUAAUCAUAUCUUCCAAUGUAAGGUGAAAAUAAGGGUUGCAUAUUAUUUAACAAAACCCUCAAUUUUUCAAGAUGCCCGGAAAGGUUUGGGGACUGUAAGUGUAUUACAUCCCAUGCUCUCUUACACACUUCAACUAUAUUCUUCGAUCUUUCGCAACCCAUCUGGUUUAGCAACUUUCACUGACCUAUUGUGGCAUGCCGUUAGCAGUUGGAAUGUCCCGUGCAUCAAUCACAUAGAGAAUUCUCUAUAUGAUUACCUUCUAUAGGAAAUCUUCACUGAAGAUGUACAUUAUCCUAUUAUCUAUUAAUUUUUGGAGUCUCACUGUGCCUAUGGUGAUUGCAACUUUUUAUGGACUAUGAGUUAGCCAUUGAAAUGUCUUAGCGAUAUCCUUGAUCACUUAAAUGUCUCAGUGUUGUGUUGUCGGAAGUAAUAUAUUCGUUACAAACAAUCAAAGGGAUGGAAGCAUUUGGUAGUACAAAAAUCGGGGAUUCAUGCUUUAGGUCUCUAUGCAUCACAGUUUAUUGCAUGUGGAUCUUUGGUUACUAGCUGCAAACUAAUUUUAACCGCAACCCUCCUACCUCCACCGCAACCCUCGUACUUUCACCACGGUCCUCCGCAGCCCUCUUACGUUCACCGCAGCCCCCCAUCUUCCCACCUCUUCCCUCUUCCCUCUUCCCUCUUUCCCUCUUCCCAGUUCACUGCUGCUAGGAGUUCAUGUUCACUGCUGCAAUAAUUCGCAGCAGCCCCCCAUCUCCCCCCUCUUCCCUCUUCCCCUCUUCCCUGUCGUAUUAGUUUACUGCUGCAUUAAUUUGCAUGAAUUCAUUGGGUCUGUGCAUUUUUUUGUUUGAAAUCAUUAGGAGGUAGAGGUACUGUGCAUGCAUAAGAUACAGCAACAGCAGCUGCCUUCUUUGCUGUAGUGAAUAAGGAUAAUACGGAUUAUUAUUGCUAUUGCUGUAGUAAUUAGUAUUACUUUUUAGUUUUUGGAUUGUCAUUGCAGCUUUAGAACCUUGAAUCAUGGCCACUUCAGAUGAAUCAUCAGUGAGAAACUCAAAAAAAGGAUCCUGCAUGAAAGUAUAGUUAUUUAAAGGAUCCUAACAAUUUAAAAUCUUUUGGUGGAAAUGAAGAAAAAUAUAAGGAUGUCUUUGCAAUCAUUGAUAAAAGAUAAGAAUGUCAACUUUAUCAUCCACUACAUGCGGAAGGACAUCUUUUAAACCUAUAAUUCUUUUAUAAGAACCCUUCAAUUGAAUUUGAUUUAGAAAUUGCAACUAAGUUAUAUUAGUGUAUUGCAAGAUUGGUUCCAGCAUUGAAGUUCAAGACAAGAUCACAAAUGAGAUAUCAUUAUAUAAGAAUGCUGAGGGUAUGUUUGGAAUUCUUAUGGCAAUAUGAUCAGGGGCUACUAAGUCUCUAGAUGUUUGUAAUUUUAUAUAAUUAACAUUAUGUAAGUUUUAAAAAUAUUUAUUAUUAACAGUUGAACUUAAAUUUGCACCUUAGUGGUAAGGUUAUUUGGAAAUAAUAUACCAAACUUACGGCGAUUAGCCAUUAAAAUUUUGAGUUUGACUUAUAGUGUUACAGGUUGUGAGCGAAAUUGGAGCGUUUUCGAGAAUGUAAGUAUCUAAAAAUAUUUUAAUUUUAAUUAAUUAAUUUUUUGAUAUAUUGAUAUAACUAAAUGAAUUCUUAAUUUGUAUUUUAUAUAUGACAGAUUUAUACAAAGAAAAGAAAUCGAUUGGUGCAUCGAUGAUUACAUGACCUUGUGUACAUCAAGUAUAAUCAAACAUUAAAAGCUCAUUGUAAUUCAUGAGAUAAGAUUGAUCUGAUAUCAUCAGAUGAUAUAGAUGAUUCAAAUGAAUGGUUGGUGAGGGAAUUGAGUACAAAUUUGGAAAAUGCUGAAGAUGGUCUUGUUUUUUAUAUGAUAAUUUGACAUAGGGAGAUAUAGUAAGAGCUUCAAGAGUUGGAAAAAUAAAGAGUUACACAAGACAACUCAUGAGAACAAAGAUGAAUGCAAAAACCUCAAUCUCAUCGAUUGCAAUUGUGGAAGAGGAGGAAGAAGGAGAUUAUAAAUCACCUACAGAGGAAGAUGGUAACAAGAUUGAAGAUGAUUUGGAUUUUAAUUAUCUUUUGAUGUUAAUCUUGUUUUAUUUUGUCAUUUUUGCUAUUGGAUAUGGACAAUGUAAUUUGGUACUUUAAAUGACUGCAAGUUUGAUGUGUUACUUCAGUUGUGUUACAUUAGUUUUA